GUCCCGGUAGCUCAGUUGGUAGAGCACCUUACGUGGUGAGCGAAAGUAACUGCCAGGAGGUCGCAGGAACGAAGCCUGCCCGGGAUU